UAGGGCAGUGCUUCAUGUGGUCCAGUUCAGCCAUAGUCUGUGCUUUAUAUUAAAGAGAACAAAACAGGGCUGGACAGAGUGUUCUGGGAAACUAAUAAUCAAAUAGGCUGCAGCCCAUAUUUGCUUUUGGGAAUGUGAUAUAGGGGAAUUACUUGGAGAUUUUCUAUUAAAAACAAAAAUGAAAAAAAGCACCAGAGAAAGCAAGGGAGCCUAAUAAUAGCUUCUUAACCACAGAAAGUGAGAAACAACAUAGAUAUGAUAAUUGAAUAUGGUUUUGAUGGUCAGCAUCUGCCUUUAUUCUACAGCUGUAUUUUCGGAUUUGAGGCUUGAUCCUGGCAGCCAUGACGACAACUUUUUGUUCACUGGAUUUUUUUGCCUGACAACUUCCUUCCACUGCUGUUGAAAAUUAAGAUUCCUUGCUUGGCAGCUGCCCUUCCUUAGCUUCUUGGAGCACCGAGCCUUCUUUUUCUCCAACAGCUCCUCACAGCUGUGUAGAGCCUGGUCAUCAUUACCAACAAAUGAAAUGGAAUGGAAACAUUAACUCUGUGGAAUCUUUGAAGAAGCUGGUAGCAAUGAAGUUAAGAAAGCAUUAACAAUGGAAAGCAUUUAGGAAAAGGUCAGCACUCAGAUUAAUGUAUGCUCUCGCUACUGGGCUGCUUCGGGGCUAAGAUGUGCUCGCGCUAUAGAUGAAGGGACCAGUUUUGGGAUGUAGUUAGUCACGGGCUUCCUUCUGUGAGACAGAGGUCUGUAGCUGCUUGAUGAAAAUAAUUACCACUACCAUUCUUUGCCGCCUUUCAUGGCUCCGAUGGGAAACCGGCUAAUCAUGCUGCUUCCUUUCUUAGGAUUUCUGCCAAGCAGCCAAUGUGCUUCUCUCUUCCCACUAGCAGGCCAGCCUUGAUCCUUGGUAGAUUUGACAGAGCAGGAUAUGGUAUCCAUGGGACCUCCAAUAGUUUUGUUGUGCUGCAAAUGAACUGGUAGCAACA